CUGAUGCACAGGGAGGUUAUAUGGCUGGUUCAAGGUCAUACACCCUGUUCAAAAGCACCAAGUGCACAAGUGUCUGGUGGGGAAGACUUUGUCUGCAUGCAGUUUAACAGUAAUGAGAUCAUCAGAGGUGACAGGAGAGAGAGGAAAGGAAGAUUUGAGAGGCAGAGAGACCAGGAAAGAAGGUUGUGUGAAGAUAGGCAGAAAUUGGGAGUUGUGUUGCCACGUCCAAGGAAUACCAGGAGCCGCCGGAGGCUGGAAGAAGCAAGGAAGGAUUCUUUCCUGGAGGAAUCCAUUCCUUUGGAGGGAGUGUGGCCUGGCAGACCCCCUUAUUUUGGACUUCUGGCUUUUGCAACACUGAGAGAAUAAAUUUC